rnacentral:ncRNA from 1 species
GGGGCGCAUUUAUUAGAUAAAAGGCUGACGUGGGCUCUGCUCGCUGAUCCGAUGAUUCAUGAUAACUCGACGGAUCGCAUGGCCUUUGUGCCGGCGACGCAUCAUUCAAAUUUCUGCCCUAUCAACUUUCGAUGGUAGGAUAGGGGCCUACCAUGGUGGUGACGGGUGACGGAGAAUUAGGGUUCGAUUCCGGAGAGGGAGCCUGAGAAACGGCUACCACAUCCAAGGAAGGCAGCAGGGGCG